ACNCAACCAAUGUGAACGUUACCAAACUGUUGCCUCGGCGGGAUCUUCUGCCCCGGGUGCGUCGCAGCCCCGGACCAAGGCGCCCGCCGGAGGAAUCAACCAAAACUCUUAUUGUAUACCCCCUCGCGGGUUUUUUUUAUAAUCUGAGCCUUCUCGGCGCCUCUCGUAGGCGUUUCGAAAAUGAAUCAAAACUUUCAACAACGGAUCUCUUGGUUCUGGCAUCGAUGAAGAACGCAGCGAAAUGCGAUAAGUAAUGUGAAUUGCAGAAUUCAGUGAAUCAUCGAAUCUUUGAACGCACAUUGCGCCCGCCAGUAUUCUGGCGGGCAUGCCUGUCCGAGCGUCAUUUCAACCCUCGAACCCCUCCGGGGGGUCGGCGUUGGGGAUCGGCCUUCCUUCACGGGGGCCGUCUCCGAAAUACAGUGGCGGUCUCGCCGCAGCCUCUCCUGCGCAGUAGUUUGCACACUCGCAUCGGGAGCGCGGCGCGUCCACAGCCGUUAAACACCCAACUUUCUGAAAUGUUGACCUCG
rnacentral:rRNA from 1 species